rnacentral:rRNA from 1 species
CCUACGGGGUGCAGCAGUGGGGAAUAUUGGACAAUGGGCGAAAGCCUGAUCCAGCCAUGCCGCGUGUGUGAAGAAGGCCUUCGGGUUGUAAAGCACUUUCAGUGGGGAAGAAAGCCUUGGGGCUAAUACCCUCGAGGAAGGACAUCACCCACAGAAGAAGCACCGGCUAACUCCGUGCCAGCAGCCGCGGUAAUACGGAGGGUGCGAGCGUUAAUCGGAAUUACUGGGCGUAAAGCGCGCGUAGGCGGUCUGAUAAGCCGGUUGUGAAAGCCCCGGGCUCAACCUGGGAACGGCAUUCGGAACUGUCAGGCUAGAGUGCAGGAGAGGAAGGUAGAAUUCCCGGUGUAGCGGUGAAAUGCGUAGAGAUCGGGAGGAAUACCAGUGGCGAAGGCGGCCUUCUGGACUGACACUGACGCUGAGGUGCGAAAGCGUGGGUAGCAAACAGGAUUAGAUACCCUAGUAGUC